rnacentral:lncRNA from 1 species
CAACACAAAGGACUGUUUAUUACUGGCACCAAGAAUGGAGGCUAGCAAAGUAUGGUCCUCUAGCGAAUCCUCUACUGAAACUCCAAGAAAAGUUGGCAGACUAUGCAGCACAAGGAACUUGCAUCUACACAGCUGGCGCACCAAACUGCUGGGCGGUGCUUGUGGUUAUCCCUGUCAUGCAGCGAGCUCAGUCUGGAUGCCGCACAGGAGAUAAUUUUUGUGGAUUCAACCUCCUCGUGUGAUGCGACAAGGAGCACAGCCUCAAUCAUGCCUACUGCUACAAAAGCAGGCUCCUUUAGUACUGAUGACGGACAACUCCCGUCCUGAAAAGGAUGCUCUGAAAAAGAUAUGGCCCACAGCAGGAACAGCUCCUAUGCCAGUUUGAUGUGCUGCAAGCAGAAUGGCGCUGGCUAACUGCAACCGCUAACAAAGUCCCAAAGGAAGACCGAUGUCAGCUGAUGGCUGCCUUCCAAAUGAUACUGUAUGCAAAGGACCUGAGCCAGCUUCAGGCAGCAAAGGAGCACCUGCGCACUGUUGGUCAUGAAGCCUACAUCCGCCGAGUAGAGGCAUUUUUUGCUGUGAAAAGGAGUGGGUACAGAUGUACCGAACAAAUCUAGCGACAAGGGAGCACAACACAAAUAACUAUUCGGAAGCAUCAAUAAGAAUCCUAAAAGAUGUUGUCCUUUGCCGCACAAAAGCAUACAAUGCUGUUGCCUUGGUCGGAAAAGUAUUUUGAGACCAGGCUUCUGCGGCAUGCGCACCAUCGAGAAGUGUCACAUCGCCUCACGUUUGAGCACCUGCUGUAAGACCUGCCAGAGCUGCCCGCAGGGAGCAUCAGAAAAUCUGGCGAAACCUACUACGUGCCCAGCUCCUCAAGCACGGCGGCACACGAGGUACAAGCUGAUUUGGGCAUAUGCAGCUGUCGGGUAGGCAGCCAAGGUGCCUUCUGUAAGCACGAGGCUGCAGUGCAGAGGGCCUUCGGAGGGUGGUUCCCUAACAGCCCUAUGCUCACACCAGCAGAUUGCAAGCAGCUCGGGCAACUUGCACUAGGUGAGCGAUGCCCCCCACUGGAAUUCUAUUUGCCAAUGAGGCCAGCACAGCAAGGUGUCAACAUAGCGGAAAGUGACUCGGGUGCACCGUCACAAGAGCCAGGCCCAAGCACCGCUUCCAACUUCAGUCCACAGGCAGGGCCCAGCACUGCUCAUGACUACUGUCCAGAGCCAGGGCCAAGCACUGCUCCUGACUUCAGUGCACAACCAGAGGACACCGAAGAAAUGUACAGUGCAUUGGAAAGGCACUGAGAAAAAUGCACAAGCUUGCAGAAGGGAACGCCGCCUACAGAGUGUUGCUGAGGAGCUUUACCGAUGGAAUAGGAAAAGUUUCCAGCAGCAGUGGAGCAUACAGCAUGCUCCUGAGGCUAAAUGCUGCUGCUCGAGCAGAGAGAUGCCACGGAAAAAAAAUGUGGGUCCAG